CGAAAACCAUAGGUUGUUUAGCAGCAAAUGGCGAACCCGAGAUAACAUUACCUACGGCAACCUCUCGAAAUCCGCUCUCGUUCGGCUCACGCAUCUUCUCUAGCACUCCCCUCCACGCCAGCACCCGCGAGAGAUCCCCCUCGGCGGCGAUGGGCAGGUCGAGAUCGAGGAGCAGAUCGCCCAAGAGGCACAAGAGCAAGAGAUCCCACAAGAGACGUUCUCGCUCGAGGGACAGGGAGAGGCGGAGGCACAGGGACCGAGAGCGAUCCAAGGAGCGGGCGGCCAAGGCGAGUCGCAAACCAUCAAGAUCAUCAUCUUCAUCAUCAAGCAGUGAUGAAGAACCUAGAACGAGAGAGAAAAAGAUUGAUGAGGUGGACAGAUUGGCUGAAUUGGAGAGAGUUAGGAGACAGAGGGAGGCUGAACAAAAAAUGGUUGAAGAAGUAGCAGCCAAAAGGUUGGAGGAGUUAGUAGCUCGGAGAGUAGAGGAGGAGCUAGAACGAAGGAGGGAUGAGAUAGAAGCUGAAGUUUUAAGGAGAGUAGAGGAGGCCAAGCGCCUCAUGGAACAACAGAUGCUCGAAGAGCUUCAGGAAAAGCGCCGGCAGCAGGAGGAGGAUCAAAAGAAGCGAGAGGUAGAGCUUUGUGAAUUGUGCUUCAGUGGGAUAUUUUGCUGGAUUUGUCAAGCCUUGGGCACAGGAGCUCUGUUGUGUAUUCUGAUAGGGAGGGGUGGGUGGGGGUUUCAAGCAAAGGAGAAUAAAUUUGGGUUAGAUGAAAGGAGAAGGGAGGUCGCUAGAGAAGGAAAGGUGGGCAAGAGAUGUCCGGGAUUAUACCAAAGAGCAUCCCAGGUGACUCCAAAAGGGCAGGCUAGGAAUGGGCUCCAUAUGGUCAGGGAAAAUCUCCGUUUUAUCAUUAUUUUAUUUAUUUUUAAUAAAACUAGAUGCUAAAGAAAGGAAAUAUCCUGAAAGUAGAUGAACCAAAAAGAAUGUGGUCAUUGGCUGUCUGUGCCAUUCCACACAUCAAGGAGGAGGGGCUUUCAGUGAACUUAAGAGUUAGAUUUUGCUGCAUGUGGACUCUAAGCUGAUAGGAAGAAAAGCCACAAAGAAAAAAAAAAUUGAUUUAGCCUAUUCAAUCGUCACUAAUUCAAAUUAUUAGGUAAAACUACUGUAUAAUGAGGAUAAUAGAACAAUAAAUUUCCAUUUUGCAUGAAGACUAACUCACACUCUUUCAGCUGAACUUUCUGUGUUUUGAAAGUGAAAUGUGAAUUUGAGGCAAUAAAGUUUCCCAGAGACAUGAUGUACAAACUUUGUAAACUCUGGUAUGUGUUGCAGUUUGACCACAUUGCCCCAGACAGUUUGUUGAAUGCAGGAGUGAAAGGAAUCUGCCUUUAAUCUCUGUCUCCAACUUUAUUUAUCGUCUGGCAAAUAUGUAUAUCCCUGUACAUUUUUUUAUAUAAAUUUUUGUUUUUUUGUUUUUUUGUUUUUGUUUUUCUUUUUUGUUUCUUUCAUAUUCCCCAAUACAUAUGUGCAUGUGUGUGAGUGUGUGUGCAAAUGAGAGUGUAAUCAGUUCAUUCUUAACUGUCUGGAAACACACGAACAUAGCAGUGUGGCAAUGAGGCAUUUUAGUGGUGAAUCACUCUAAACAGAAUAGACAUAUUAUUGGCGGCUUGCAACCAAGAAUUGUCAGCUGCGGAUUUUAGGCCAGAGCUGUUCUAGGAGUGGAUUUGGCGGCAUCCAUAUGGAGGAGGAACGUAAACAGCGGGAGGAACUGGAGCGAAUUAUGGAAGAGAACAAAAGAAAAAUAGAGAUUGCCCAGAUGAAAUUGGCUGAGCAGCAGCUACAAAUGGUGGAGGAGCAGCGAAAGAUUGAUGAGGAGCGGCAGAAAAUCAAGAGGGAGCAGGAAAAGCGGACACGUGAGGAGCAAAAGAUCAUCCUUGGGAAGAACAAUGCGCGGCCCAAGAUCUCCUUCUCUAUCUAAAGCUAGAUACCCACAUGCAUGGGGUCUUUUAUGUUGUAGGUCCACACUCUUUCAUAUGAUUUCAAUUUGUUUUUGUUUUGUUUUUUAUUUCUAUUUUUUUAUUUUUUAUUUAUUUAUCAUUAUUUUUUUUCCUUAGUCAUUAUUACUAUCAUAUACUUUAUCUCUUUUUCGUAUUUUGUUUUUUACAGGAUAUGUUUCUGCUAUGCAUGAGUGUGAUUGACUUAACUGAUAAGGGUGUGGAGAGCCACACACUUUGUGAUUGCAUGAACCCUUGGUUUUAUUUAUUGUUGGUGUUAUUAUUAUUAUUAUUAUUAUUAUUAUUAUUAAUCAUCACUAUUACUAUCACUUACUGUUAUUAUUAUGAAGAUAAUUACUGUUAUCAUUAUCAUUUUCAUUAUUGCUUAUUUUUUUAUUAUUAUUAUUACUUUAGUAUUGAUUUAUUUGUGCUCUUUCAGUGAUGCUCAUCUCUUGUUUUUAGAAUAUGCAGUUGCACGAGUGUCUGGCUUUCCAUUAAACAUAGUAGAAAAUAAGCUAGUUAAGGGUCUUUCAGAACCUGGGUUCUUUUGAUGUCAAUGCCUACAAUGUGAGUGCUAAAUGUUACAACAAAAGUGGAAGUAGAAACUACUGCCCCAAAACCCCUACUUCUUUUGCUUUGAGUGAUUGAAGGCAAAAACUAAGCUAUAAUCUGCGAUUGUGUUAUAAUCGUAGCGGUGAAAGAUAACGGUGAGAGAAUAUAAUUCAGAGGGUAAUGAACACUACUAUAAGAAAACCCCCUGACAAUGGCUCAGGCCAGCACUCAGAGUAGCUAGGACUAAGGCUGCAUUAGGCAGUCUUGGUUCAUACUGAUGUAUUUCAGGCGCUUAUAGUAUAACUGUAUCCUAAUCAUCUGCAAAUCAUUUCAUAUGUCCUUCAUCCCAUGUUUGUAAAGUCAUGAUCUUUCACCCGAGUAAGUGUCUUGCCAUAGUGGCAGCAGACAUAAGAAAACAAUUGUAUAUAUAGCACAUGGAUCACAGAUCAUGUACAAAGUUGUACUUCUUUGGUUGGAGUAGAACUUCAGCUACUUUUCACCUGCACUGGUGAAGACUUCCUCAUCAGUCUUUAGAGAAUGGAAAUAAAUACCAUUUGUAUUGGA
rnacentral:misc_RNA from 1 species